GGCGGGGACGAGGACGUCCUGGGAGCCUCACCCCGCAGCGGCCGGGAGCCGGAGUCCUGCCCUCGCUCCUUACAGCUUUCCGCACUACGUCGGCUUCUUUCUUGGAGACACCGGUGAUUUGCAGCUGGAUAGAGCGCAAAGAUGAUGCCUCCCAGCCUACCCAGUCUUUAGAGCAGUCUCUGGAGAGGAUCGAAACCUGUGGGACCUGCAAAAUAACCCCUGUUGAGCAGAGCCAGGCAGUCAAAGUGCAUUCUCUGGGUGGCAGAUGCAAAAAUCAUUAUGCCAGACAUCUAAACAGUCUCCUCAAGCUGAAGCAUUUAAGAAGACGAGAUGUAAUCUUCCUAAAGAACAGCUUCCCAACAUAUCCUGACAACUGUAGGGUGUGGAGGAAGCAAGUUGCGCCCUGUUACGUAUAAAUGAAAAACCAUAAGAUUCAGCCAGAGUACCAUCCCAUUCCUGGAAGAGGCUUGAGGCCCUGGGAUGACAGCAGAAUAUGUGGAUAAGAGACAACUUGAGGAUAACGGCAGCAGUCAACUACCCACAGUUUAGUCAAAUUCCAGUUCUUUCUUCAGUGUAUGAUUGUUACCAUCCUCUUUUUAUCUCUGUCUGGGCCUUUCUUUAAUAUCACAUUUUCUCUUUAAUCCCAUUCUCAUGCUAACAAAAAAUUAUUUAAAAAUAAGUUCAAGACGUACACUCAAAUUAGUUUUCUCAGCUGUCCAAAUGCCUUAGUAGCUGAAAAGACAGAAAUAUUAACCAACCUAAUUAAUCGGAAAGCAAUUAUGUUAUUUUUCGCCUUACAGUGAAAUCUCUAGCUCUGGUUUGAUUCCACUUUCAGGGGCUCAAGUACCACCCACUGGAACGAAUGGUGGAAUUGGCUGUGACCCUUCACUGACGAUUUUCCUUUUCCUCUGUCUGCUCUU